rnacentral:tRNA from 1 species
GCCCAGGUGGUGGAAUUGGUAGACACGCACGCUUGAGGGCGUGUGCCGCAAGGUGUAGGGGUUCGACUCCCUCUUGGGCACCA